UCCCGUUGGGAUGCAUUCUGUCAGAAUGCACCUCAUCAGGAUACAUCCCAUCGGGAUG
rnacentral:pre_miRNA from 1 species